rnacentral:rRNA from 1 species
UACGGAGGAUGCGAGCGUUAUCCGGAUUUAUUGGGUUUAAAGGGUGCGCAGGCGGAUUUUUAAGUCAGCGGUCAAAUCGUGGGGCUCAACCCCAUCCAGCCGUUGAAACUGGGGAUCUAGAGUGUGCGAGAGGUAUACGGAAUGCGUGGUGUAGCGGUGAAAUGCAUAGAUAUCACGCAGAACCCCGAUUGCGAAGGCAGCAUACCGGUGCACAACUGACGCUCAGGCACGAAAGCGUAGGUAUCGAACAGG